AAUGCUGGAUGAGUGUGAGGCGUUGGAUUGAUUUCACUCAAUCUGAGCCCCACAUUCAUCAAUGAUUGGUCUUCAAAAUAGAUUUAUCCAAUUUCGUGAGGGGGGCUGAAAAUUUCGGAGAGGUAAAAAAGGGUUCUAGGGUUCUUUGCUUUCCUUCUUUUGAAUCUGGUACUGCAUUUUCAGAAAAAGAAAAAUACAAAAAAAUAGUUUGGGUUUGAUUUUUGUUCGAGU
rnacentral:lncRNA from 1 species